UAAAUUUAGAUAAAUCCUUUUCUAUAGGGUUUCUGAAAUACUGUAAUUGUAAAUAUACUUGUGGAGAUAUGAUAUUACAAAAGAUAAAGAUGCACAGGCACAAAGGACACCAGAAAGUCUUAAUUUUGGUUUAAAACAUGCAAUAUAGAUGUAUACGAAAACAGGUGAUUUAUUUCUGUAAAUGGAAUAAAAUGUUAAUUUUUUUGGAGUUUGUAAUGACUAGACAGAUAUACAUACAGACUUGGAAAGGAAACUUGCAAACCACACUGAAGUACCAAAGAUGUUGCUAAGAAUGUCUUAUGGAGGAAGAACUUACCGCUGCCUUAAGAAAGUAAUAAAGAAAAGACAGGAAGAAAGAAAAAAAGCAGAAAGUUUACUACUGAGGAAGGACUUAGGACACUGCAGAACGGACAGGAGGCUCACCUGCCCGAAGAAGGCUACCCGGAAGUAGGUCCCCAGCAGCCUGCGGCCUGAGUGCAUGACCUCGGUCACUUUGCUGUAGGCCCGGUGCAGCGUGUCAUACAGAUGGGCCAGCCUCUGGAAAGCAGAACAAAGCCCAUUUCUUCCCAUGUGCAAACAGGAGAAUCGAUUUUAAAAUAACAAAUGUGAUAAUGGAGGUGAAAGUCCUCGAACUUGAAUAAAAAUACACUCACGCACA